GUGUCAGCCGCCGCGGUAAUACGUAGGUGGCAAGCGUUGUCCGGAUUUACUGGGCGUAAAGGAUGCGUAGGUGGAUAUGCAAGUCAGAUGUGAAAUACCCGGGCUCAACUCGGGUGCUGCAUUUGAAACUAUAUAUCUAGAGUGCAGGAGAGGUAAGUGGAAUUCCUAGUGUAGCGGUGAAAUGCGUAGAGAUUAGGAAGAACACCAGUGGCGAAGGCGACUUACUGGACUGUAACUGACACUGAGGCAUGAAAGCGUGGGGAGCAAACAGGAUUAGAUACCCCGGUAGUCC
rnacentral:rRNA from 1 species